GAUGAACGCUGGCGGCGUGCCUAAUACAUGCAAGUCGAACGAAACUUCUUUAUCACCGAGUGCUUGCACUCACCGAUAAAGAGUUGAGUGGCGAACGGGUGAGUAACACGUGGGCAACCUGCCCAAAAGAGGGGGAAAACACUUGGAAACAGGUGCUAAUACCGCAUAACCAUAGUUACCGCAUGGUAACUAUGUAAAAGGUGGCUAUACUACCGCUUUUGGAUGGGCCCGCGGCGCAUUAGCUAGUUGGUAGGGUAAAGGCUUACCAAGGCAAUGAUGCGUAGCCGAAUUGAGAGGUUGAUCGGCCACAUUGGGACUGAGACACGGCCCAAACUCCUACGGGAGGCAGCAGUAGGGAAUCUUCCACAAUGGGCGAAAGCCUGAUGGAGCAACGCCGCGUGGGUGAAGAAGGUCUUCGGAUCGUAAAACCCUGUUGUUAGAGAAGAAAGUGCGUGAGAGUAACUGUUCACGUUUCGACGGUAUCUAACCGGAAAGCCACGGCUAACUACGUG
rnacentral:rRNA from 1 species